GGCCCCUUAGCUCAGCAGGAUAGAGCACCAGUUUCCUAAAUUGGGUGUCAGAGGUUCGAGUCCUCUAGGGGUCGCCA
rnacentral:tRNA from 1 species